UAAUCCCACAGCGCAGCUGCUUGAGGAGAGAUACGGUGACGUCUAACGCAUGGUCGGCGGCCUCGGAACCAUCGACACAGAGGAGGAUCUGGAAGGUAUCGAGAAGAACUUCGGAAGCGAAGUCUCUUUCCUGGUCUUU
rnacentral:rRNA from 11 species